rnacentral:lncRNA from 1 species
AGGCCCUGGGAUCAGCAUCUUCACGCAUCAUCCUAUUUAAUCCUAACUAUGUGAGAUGGAGCUCAGAAAGAUCAAGUAGCAGAUCCAUAGUCAUAUCUCGGUUAGACGGUAGGACUGGGAACUCAAUGCAUGUCCGUUGCUUUGUCUUAUGAGUGCUUGGGUCUUUCAGAGUAGUUCAUUAAAGCUCUACCUGUCCAAAAGAGAGGGUGGAUGGAACGUCAAGAUUGGAGAACAUGGCUUACAUCCUUGGCCCUCUUAAUGGCGUCGUAGAUGGCUCCACGUCCAUCAGGAUGGAAAUUAAUUGGUGGCUAUCCAUCAUUCUGUGGGUUCCUUCCCCCGCUAAACACUGGAUGUCAGGAGCUGAUGAACUGGAGAGUCUGAUCCAACAGUAAUUUGGAACUCCAGCCUCCACGGUAAGCCCAGCCUGAUCACGAGGAAAACAGACAAAUUCCAACUGAGGGACAUUCUAUAAAAUACCUGACCGCUCAAAACUGGCAAGGUCGUCCAACACCAGGAGAGUCUGAGAAAGCAUCACAGCCCAGAGGAGCCUAGGGAGACAUGACAACUAAAUGUAACGUGGUGUCCUGGACCAGAAAAAGAACACCAGGUCAAGAGCUGAGGAAAUCUGAACAAAGUUUGGUUCAUUAAUUGUGACAAACAUACCAUAUACCAAUGU